AACCCCCAAAACACACCUCCACUGAAAAAGGUACCUGCCCAACCUACCUUAAAGGGACAGGGAGAGAAAACAUUCUGCAUGACCCUUCGGGUAUAUCCUUACAAAUUUGGAAAAAGGAGAAAAAAAAGGGAAAAAGUUGGACAUGGGUAAAAAGGACUUAUUUGCAAGAGAAAGAUUUAAGACGUUGGUGACCAGAGUCAGGAAGGAUCUGACCUCACCUGGACCUUGAAGGCUGUACUCUAGGAUGCUGUUGAAUUACUACUUCUGCUGGAAUGAGCAGACUCAUAUUCAGGGGUCAAGAAGAUGUAAUGCCCAUGGGGACAGACUAUGUUCCCAGAAUGCUUGGAGGAACUUUGGACUGUAUCUCCCAGAAGCUGUUGGG